GCUAUGCUGACUGGCUAAUCCCUCCACGUAAAGGAAUGAGACACUCAUUGAGUUAACUCUGAGAGCAAAACUCCUGAUUCCCAACAUUGGGCUGAGCCCCUCCUGAGCCCUGGCGGCCCCACUGGGCUUGUGAGGAUUGCACAGAGGAAAGGAAUUUCAUCCUUAACCUCCCUGGUGUGGCUCCUCUCUCAGCGUCAGAAGUCCGGUGGAAACUUGUGUUCAUCCAUACCCUUCUCAGGGCUCUGCCCAAGGACUCUGAGUCACGUUGCUCCCCACCCCAUAUGACCUGUGGAUUUUUUGGGUGAUGGAGUUCCUGCUACCGAACACAAACGUGUCACAAGCGUUCCUGACCAGGAAUGAGUACCACGUGCGCUCUCUGCUCGCCUUUCCUCUUUGGCCCUGGCGGUGGGGGAAGUCUCCGGGGCCUUAGAGACCCUGAGAAAAGACAGGGCCCAUCUGGGGAGCCAGACCCCGGCCUGUCUGCCCCAAGGCUGCCCCAGCUGUGGCCACCAGGGGGCGCCGGUCCCACAGGGAAGAGCUGAUCGCGGCCCCUCCGCGCCCUCGAGCCCCUUCCCCACUUCUCACGCUCACCCGCUCAAGGUUGCGGCGGGGCCUGGUCUGGAGGCAGGUCUUCGCUGGUGCCCGGGAUGAGUUGCGUCUGCUGAGGAGACACACGAGGAAACUACUGAAGGUGCUGCUUACAUGUUAAUAUUGACAAUAGAGGACACAAGGGGCAGAAUCAUGGAAACUUCUUAGACAUAACCAAACACCUUGAAGGAUGAAGUUUCUUGGCUCAAGGAUGAAGGGCCAUAGACUCAGGGAUCAUCUACAUUAAUUGGCACAACAGAGUUCAUAAAGUUCUGCAUCCUGCUUUGAGGGCAGUGGUGGUUCAGUGGUAGAAUUUUCACUCUUCAUGUGGGAGACCCACGUUCGAUUCCCGGCCAGUGCACCUUCAUGGCCAGCCACCACCUGUCUGUCAGUGGAGGCUUGUGUAUUGCUGUGAUGCUGAACAGGCUGCAGUGGAGUUUCCAGACUAACAUGGACUAGGAUGAAAGGCCUGGCAAUCUACUUCCAAACAUCAGCCAGUGAAAACCCUACAGGUUACAAUGGUCUGAUCUGUUGUGCAUGGGGUCAUCCUGAGUCGGGGGCAGACUUGAUGGUAGUUAACAACAACAUUUCUACAAAGAGCAUAUGUUUCUAUGUAAUUUAAAAGACACACAAAAAGUAAUAAUAUAGGAGAAAUGAUAUUUCAAAUUCCCUGCCUCAUCUGAGCCUCAAAACUACCCUGGGAGGCAGGAAGGGUAUGUUAUCAACUCCAUUUUCCAGAUGAGAGGGUGGAGGCCAGAGGCACCUGGUUGGCUCAAGACACACAGUGGGUGUGGAAGGAGGUCAGGGCCCACUGAGCCUGGACCUCUGAGCCCUCCACGCCUGCCUGCUACAGUGCAGGGCCUUCUCCCUCAGGACUCACUCCUUCAGCUAGUUGUUCACUCAUCACCCAUUUCAUGAGCACUGUCCAGUCCCUUGGGGUACAAAACUCCGAGCUGGGCCCUGCCAGGCUCAGCCCUUACAGCAGUGGUUCUUCACCUUUGAGAACCUGGUGGGAAUUGUAGACCUCCCCCCUCACAAGCCACUUGUACAACUCAGACACACAAGGGUGCCCAAAACUUUAUGGGGUUCCAUGACCACCUGAAACCAUCCAUGGUGGAGCCCCAGCGGAAUGGUCUGGAUACAGCCUUUACUGCCCACCCCACUGUCAUUCACAGAAGCGAGCUCAGUGUGAGUCCCUGGGCUCCAUCUGUUUGUGGCCCCCAGCCCUGGACUCACGGAUCGGGGUGCAAUGGGCAUGCCGCUCUCAUCCACAGGCCCGAU